rnacentral:rRNA from 1 species
GUCUACCGCCAUACCACCCUGAACGUACCUGAUCUCGGAAGCUAAGCAGGGUCGGGCCUGGAUGGGAGAAUACAUCUGAGCACUGUGCACA